GUAUGCGGACAACUCCGUCAUAGUGAGCCUGCUCCAUAAAAAUGACAGAGGCCAUGGACCAAUAAUUGAAGACUUUGUCCAGUGGUGUGAGGAGUCACACCUUCAAUUGAACAUAUCAAAAACAAAGGAUAUGUAUAUUGAUUUCGGUAAAACUCUAGGAUAUGAGGCCAUACCUAUAAAUGGUCAACUAGUGGAUCAAGUAGAAUCCUAUAGAUAUCUAGGGACAAUUAUUGACUCUAAAUUAAAUUUCCAGGAGAAUUGUGAAGCUGUCUGCAAAAAAGUACAACAGCGUCUAUACUGCUUGAGAAAAUUGUACCAUUUUCAUAUAGACUGUUGUGGUUAGGACAGAAUGGACCCAAACGCAGAGCUCAGCACAAGAUACUUUAUUGGGAAAAUGGGAAAGAGGAUGGGGAAGUGGGAAGGUGGAUGCCAGGGAGGAGAGCACGGGCACGGGGGCUGGAGCUGGGAACAGAGACACAGAGAGACUGGGGCUGAGAGAUCGACAGGGGAAGCACUAAAGCGCGGAAUGGCGAGAGCUGGGGAAGGCUGGUGCAGGAACCGUGAGGGAGGGACUGGAUGGAGGGGCCAGCUGACUGGAGGCUGGGUGACGGGAAAGGUAGCAACUGAAACAAGAAGACAAAAAACAGGUUACAAAAGCACAGGCAGGAACACACACAGGCUAGUAUCUAGGAGCUUGAGGUAUAUGUCACCAAUGAGACAGGAGCAACGAUUAAGCGAAGAUGGUGAGUCAAACCGGGGUUGAUAUACUGGGCUUGAUUGAAGUUGAUGACCGGCAGGUGUGUACGGCGGGAGGAGUGGUAGUGAGGAGGCGAGCAGGUGUGUGCAAUCAGCUGGCUGGCACAGGCAGGAGGGGAGGGGGGAAACAGAGAGAGACAGAGAGGCAGAGCCAACACAAACUGACAGCAAAAUAUAUAAGAGGGAAAAAAUUAAAAACAGACACUCACAGCCAGCCGGACUCCAACCAUCACAUAGACAAGACCACGAUGACAUUAUUUUAUCAUGCGUUUAUCGAAUCCAUCAUAUCUUUUUCCUUAGCGUCAUGGUUUGGGUGUGUUUCAGUUAAGCACAAGAAUCGCCUAAAUCAAAUUGUAAGAUGGUCAAGUAAGCUGACUGGUGAGUCCCAGCGGCACCCCGCAGUCCCGUAUGCUAAACAACUACAGCGGAUAGCUAUGGCCAUCUUAGAAGAUACACCCUUUGAAUCUGGAAUUCCAGUAUCUCCCCUCUGGACGGAGGCUAAUAGUCCCUGGUUGUAGAACUACAAGAUUUAAAAACUGUUUUGUCCCAGCAGCAAUCACUCUGUUAAACAAACUGUAGAAUUACUUGCACACAACGCACAAGCACCUUGGUCAUAGCUGUAGAAUUUCUGCAUAUAACUGCACAAGUCAAUGUGGUCAUGUACUGUUUUUUAUCCAUGUUCUACUGUCUGUUUUAUAUGUUUUAAUGUUUUGUAUGUUGCAUGUUAUGUGGUGGUUCAAUGUUUUAAGGAUGUCCUGCCUCUUAGACUGUAAACCUAGUUUACCUACGGGUACCAAUAAAGUAACCUGAACCUGAACCUGCUUUGUUCCAUUACAAUCUGACAUUAGCCUACUGCUAACUAAUAAGUAGCUGCAUGUUAACGGCUGAUAGCUGUAUAAUUUCUCCCCAAUGUUGGGUGACAUUACUGCUGGGACAUGUCCGGUUGUGUAAUGGUUGGUUUAGAAGCCUUUAUUUGUGGUACAAAGUCCUGCUAUAUACUCCGUUACAGUAGCUCCAGCUGCAACUAGUAAAACAAAAGCGGAGCGGAGAUUCCAGGAAACACAGUGGGCGAUCAGAGCAGACUGGGCUUUCUCGGGAUGGGGGCUUAAAGAGACAGGCGCUCCAACAGUGCAUCUCAGACAGAGGGGAAUACAGGAGCCGCAGUCAUGGGCAGUAUGAGUUGCUAUGGUUUCUGGUGCUGCCCUUGCCUUGCCUGCACAGUUUCAGAAAGAUUUGGAGAGAACCGUUGUCUCCCAUUAUGUGACAUAUGCAGCCCUGCCAUAUUAUCAGCCUUGGGGAUACCUCUGUGUGUGGCGCCUCCUGCAGGCCUGUCCCUAAGGGCUGCCAUGCGAAAUAGAUAUGGUAUCAAGGGUUCUCUCUGUAAGGACAUCGCAGUUUCCUGUUUCUGCGGGUGGUGCAACUGGUGUCAGAUGCAUCGUGAGUUAAGACAUCGUGAAAAAACUCCCACUGUCGUCAAUGUUACAAACGUGAACGUGCAGCAGCCUGCUCCAAUGAUGAUGACUCCUGUAUACCAAUAUCAGUGAAAACCAAAGCUUGAGAGUAUGAUGAUGAAUAACUUUCAGUUUCUUAUUUAGAGUCUAAUAAUUGUUGACUAUCGCGUCAAAUUAUUUUCUGAAGUUUCUGUUUAACCCUUGUGUUGUCUUUUUGUCGACCAUGCAACUUUCUGUUUUUCUGGGUCAAAAUGAAAAAAUAAAUUCAACUUUUUCAUUGUCUUUUUUGACACUUUUGUCGCUUUCCCCGAUGUAUUUGAAGAUGUUUCCGAUGUGUUGUCACUUUUUUUAUGUUUUUGU